UCUCAAGCGUGAGGUAAGGGCAAUUCGUGGAUGCCUUGGCAUGUACAGGCGAAGAAGGACGUGGCACGCUGCGAUAAGCGUCGGUGAGGUGUGAGCAACCUUUGACCCGACGAUUUCCGAAUGGGGAAACCCACCUAUCCGAUUAAUCCAUAGCUGAGCCGCUCGGCGGCACGCUUCAUGCGUGCUGUCGCGGGGCUCUCUACGGGUUAAUGGGGUCAGGUAUCUUGAGACUGAAUACAUAGGUUUCGAGAAGCGAACCCGGUGAACUG
rnacentral:rRNA from 1 species